AUAAUCAUGGAGUAUAAUAAUUAAAUUUAAUAAAUUUAAUAUAACUAUUAAUAGAAUUAGGUUACUAAUAAAUUAAUAACAAUUAAUUUUAAAACCUAAAGGUAAACCUUUAUAUUAAUAAUGUUAUUUUUUAUUAUAUUUAUAAUAAGAAUAAUUAUUAAUAAUAAUAAACUAAGUGAACUGAAACAUCUAAGUAACUUAAGGAUAAGAAAUCAACAGAGAUAUUAUGAGUAUUGGUGAGAGAAAAUAAUAAAGGUCUAAUAAGUAUUAUGUGAAAAAAAUGUAAGAAAAUAGGAUAACAAAUUCUAAGACUAAAUACUAUUAAUAAGUAUAGUAAGUACCGUAAGGGAAAGUAUGAAAAUGAUUAUUUUAUAAGCAAUCAUGAAUAUAUUAUAUUAUAUUAAUGAUGUACCUUUUGUAUAAUGGGUCAGCAAGUAAUUAAUAUUAGUAAAACAAUAAGUUAUAAAUAAAUAGAAUAAUAUAUAUAUAUAUAAAAAUAUAUUAAAAUAUUUAAUUAAUAUUAAUUGACCCGAAAGCAAACGAUCUAACUAUGAUAAGAUGGAUAAACGAUCGAACAGGUUGAUGUUGCAAUAUCAUCUGAUUAAUUGUGGUUAGUAGUGAAAGACAAAUCUGGUUUGCAGAUAGCUGGUUUUCUAUGAAAUAUAUGUAAGUAUAGCCUUUAUAAAUAAUAAUUAUUAUAUAAUAUUAUAUUAAUAUUAUAUAAAGAAUGGUACAGCAAUUAAUAUAUAUUAGGGAACUAUUAAAGUUUUAUUAAUAAUAUUAAAUCUCGAAAUAUUUAAUUAUAUAUAAUAAAGAGUCAGAUUAUGUGCGAUAAGGUAAAUAAUCUAAAGGGAAACAGCCCAGAUUAAGAUAUAAAGUUCCUAAUAAAUAAUAAGUGAAAUAAAUAUUAAAAUAUUAUAAUAUAAUCAGUUAAUGGGUUUGACAAUAACCAUUUUUUAAUGAACAUGUAACAAUGCACUGAUUUAUAAUAAAUAAAAAAAAAAUAAUAUUUAAAAUCAAAUAUAUAUAUAUUUGUUAAUAGAUAAUAUACGGAUCUUAAUAAUAAGAAUUAUUUAAUUCCUAAUAUGGAAUAUUAUAUUUUUAUAAUAAAAAUAUAAAUACUGAAUAUCUAAAUAUUAUUAUUACUUUUUUUUUUUAAUAAUAAUAAUAUGGUAAUAGAACAUUUAAUGAUAAUAUAUAUUAGUUAUUAAUUAAUAUAUGUAUUAAUUAAAUAGAGAAUGCUGACAUGAGUAACGAAAAAAAGGUAUAAACCUUUUCACCUAAAACAUAAGGUUUAACUAUAAAAGUACGGCCCCUAAUUAAAUUAAUAAGAAUAUAAAUAUAUUUAAGAUGGGAUAAUCUAUAUUAAUAAAAAUUUAUCUUAAAAUAUAUAUAUUAUUAAUAAUUAUAUUAAUAAUAUAUAUAAUUAUAUUAUAUAUUUUUUUUUAUAUAAUAUAAACUAAUAAAGAUCAGGAAAUAAUUAAUGUAUACCGUAAUGUAGACCGACUCAGGUAUGUAAGUAGAGAAUAUGAAGGUGAAUUAGAUAAUUAAAGGGAAGGAACUCGGCAAAGAUAGCUCAUAAGUUAGUCAAUAAAGAGUAAUAAGAACAAAGUUGUACAACUGUUUACUAAAAACACCGCACUUUGCAGAAACGAUAAGUUUAAGUAUAAGGUGUGAACUCUGCUCCAUGCUUAAUAUAUAAAUAAAAUUAUUUAACGAUAAUUUAAUUAAAUUUAGGUAAAUAGCAGCCUUAUUAUGAGGGUUAUAAUGUAGCGAAAUUCCUUGGCCUAUAAUUGAGGUCCCGCAUGAAUGACGUAAUGAUACAACAACUGUCUCCCCUUUAAGCUAAGUGAAAUUGAAAUCGUAGUGAAGAUGCUAUGUACCUUCAGCAAGACGGAAAGACCCUAUGCAGCUUUACUGUAAUUAGAUAGAUCGAAUUAUUGUUUAUUAUAUUCAGCAUAUUAAGUAAUCCUAUUAUUAGGUAAUCGUUUAGAUAUUAAUGAGAUACUUAUUAUAAUAUAAUGAUAAUUCUAAUCUUAUAAAUAAUUAUUAUUAUUAUUAUUAAUAAUAAUAAUAUGCUUUCAAGCAUAGUGAUAAAACAUAUUUAUAUGAUAAUCACUUUACUUAAUAGAUAUAAUUCUUAAGUAAUAUAUAAUAUAUAUUUUAUAUAUAUUAUAUAUAAUAUAAGAGACAAUCUCUAAUUGGUAGUUUUGAUGGGGCGUCAUUAUCAGCAAAAGUAUCUGAAUAAGUCCAUAAAUAAAUAUAUAAAAUUAUUGAAUAAAAAAAAUAAUAUAUAUUAUAUAUAUUAAUUAUAAAUUGAAAUAUGUUUAUAUAAAUUUAUAUUUAUUGAAUAUAUUUUAGUAAUAGAUAAAAAUAUGUACAGUAAAAUUGUAAGGAAAACAAUAAUAACUUUCCUCAAAAAAUAAUUAUGGAAAGAAUUAAAUUAAUAUAAUGGUAUAACUGUGCGAUAAUUGUAACACAAACGAGUGAAACAAGUACGUAAGUAUGGCAUAAUGAACAAAUAACACUGAUUGUAAAGGUUAUUGAUAACGAAUAAAAGUUACGCUAGGGAUAACAGGGUAAUAUAACGAAAGAGUAGAUAUUGUAAGUUAUGUUUGCCACCUCGAUGUCGACUCAACAUUUCCUCUUGGUUGUAAAAGCUAAGAAGGGUUUGACUGUUCGUCAAUUAAAAUGUUACGUGAGUUGGGUUAAAUACGAUGUGAAUCAGUAUGGUUCCUAUCUGCUGAAGGAAAUAUUAUCAAAUUAAAUCUCAUUAUUAGUACGCAAGGACCAUAAUGAAUCAACCCAUGGUGUAUCUAUUGAUAAUAAUAUAAUAUAUUUAAUAAAAAUAAUACUUUAUUAAUAUAUUAUCUAUAUUAGUUUAUAUUUUAAUUAUAUAUUAUCAUAGUAGAUAAGCUAAGUUGAUAAUAAAUAAAUAUUGAAUACAUAUUAAAUAUGAAGUUGUUUUAAUAAGAUAAUUAAUCUGAUAAUUUUAUACUAAAAUUAAUAAUUAUAGGUUUUAUAUAUUAUUUAUAAAUAAAUAUAUUAUAAUAAUAAUAAUUAUUAUUAUUAAUAAAAAAUAU
rnacentral:rRNA from 1 species